rnacentral:rRNA from 1 species
CCAAUAGCGUAUAUUAAAGUUGUUGCAGUUAAAAAGCUCGUAGUUGAAUUUCGGGAUUGACGUGAUGGUCAUGCCUUAAGGGGGAUGAACUGUCACAGUUGAUUUCUCACCUUCUGGAGAAGCUUUAUGUCCUUUAUUGGGUGUCUUGCGGAGCCAUGACCUUUACCUUGAAAAAAUUAGAGUGUUUAAAGCAGGCAUUUUUGCUCGAAUACAUUAGCAUGGAAAAAUAGAAUUGGGAGGCAUGGUUCUAUUUUGUUGGUUUCUAGGAUCACCGUAAUGAUUAAUAGGGAUAGUUGGGGGCAUUAGUAUUCAAUUGUCAGAGGUGAAAUUCUUGGAUUUAUUGAAGACUAACUACUGCGAAAGCAUUUGCCAAGGAUGUUUUCAUUAAUCAAGAACGAAAGUUAGGGGAUCGAAGACGAUCAGAUACCGUCGUAGUCUUAACCAUAAACUAUGCCGACUAGGAAUCAGACGAUGUUAAUUUUUUAAUGACUCGUUUGGCACCUUACG